rnacentral:rRNA from 1 species
GACAGAGGAUGCAAGCGUUAUCCGGAAUGAUUGGGCGUAAAGCGCGCGUAGGCGGUGCGUUAAGUCGGCGGUGAAAUACUUCGGCUCAACCGGAGAAUUGCCGCUGAAACUGGCGUGCUCGAGGGAGGUAGAGGUGCGUGGAACUUCCGGUGGAGCGGUGAAAUGCGUUGAUAUCGGAAGGAACACCUGUGGCGAAAGCGAUGCACUGGACCUCUUCUGACGCUGAGUGCGCGAAAGCCAGGGGAGCGAACGGG